rnacentral:rRNA from 1 species
UUUAACGUCCAUACCACGUUGAAUACAUCGGUUCUCGUCCGAUCACCGAAGUUAAGCAACGCCGGACGUGGUCAGUACUUAGAUGAGUGACGGCCUGGGAACACCGGUGACAUUGGCU